CCCACAGCCAGCCGCGGCCAGGAAACGCGCGCGUCGAGAGCUCCGAGCCUUCGCGUGGUCAAGCCAAUGGGUUGGUGGGCGUGGGAUGCGUGGACCUCGCUCUUCGCUCUUCCCACCCAUCGCCGGUCGGGCUCUGGAGUUACAGGGAAGGAGCUGAGCCCUGAUGCACAACUUGAGCCUGUGCUACCCUCCCCCAGUCCUUCACACGCUUGUCGCUGAUGCACUGGACCUGUGUAACAUGUGACAUGUAACACGAGGGCGAAGAGGCACAAGAGAUCCCCUCCAGCACUGAAAGGCACCUGCAGGCAGGAGGGAGCUUUCAGCACCUUUGGUGUGGACACUGAUCCAAGGUGCAGUGGGACACGCUGCCUGCCCCAGCUGGAGCGGGUGCCAGAGCCUUCAGCAGCCUGGGGGGACGUGGGGCUCUCCUGAGUACAGAAGGGCGUCUUCAACACCUCAGAGCUGGUACAGGACCCUGCAAGGAGCAGGACAGUGACCCCAGCAGCCAUCAUCACCCCAGGGUCUCUCCUCUCUGAGCUUGUAGGGGUGCUGGAGGGCAGUGGAAGGGAGCUCUACCCAUGGAAACCCUGAGCACCCCUGGCACGGAGGGCACUGUGCAUUUUGUCCAGACAGGCUGGCUGAACAUGACAGCCGUGAUCACUGGGACUCUUUUCUUGGCUUCCUGCAUCCCUAGAAUGCAGCAUUUGUGCAUCAGGGCAUUUAUUCAAAUCCAAACAUCAGGGAUUCAAAUCCAGACAUCUCUGCCCUUCCUAGAUUCCUGCACCUUACGCCUCCUCUGCGCCACACGUGCGUUCAUCAGCUUUCACCCUGCUCCUCACCACCCAGUGGAGGGGGAACUGGACACCAAGCCCUCAGAGAGCCUUUAUGAGCUUCCUUUAUGAACUUUCUUUAUGAAUUUCCUUUAUGAACUUCCUACUUCCUAACCUCUCUGAGUGCCUGCCCAACAUGGCCAGAGCAUCCCCUCAUUUCAGCGCUGUGCUGGGAGCACCCACGCCUGGGCAGGGCUCCUGCUCCUCACCAGCAGACCCAAACACUGCUGCUCU